rnacentral:rRNA from 1 species
UAGGGAAUCUUCGGCAAUGGGGGCAACCCUGACCGAGCAACGCCGCGUGAGUGAAGAAGGUUUUCGGAUCGUAAAGCUCUGUUGUAAGAGAAGAACGUGUGUAAGAGUGGAAAGUUCACACAGUGACGGUAACUUACCAGAAAGGGACGGCUAACUACGUGCCAGCAGCCGCGGUAAUACGUAGGUCCCGAGCGUUGUCCGGAUUUAUUGGGCGUAAAGCGAGCGCAGGCGGUUUAAUAAGUCUGAAGUUAAAGGCAGUGGCUUAACCAUUGUUCGCUUUGGAAACUGUUAAACUUGAGUGCAGAAGGGGAGAGUGGAAUUCCAUGUGUAGCGGUGAAAUGCGUAGAUAUAUGGAGGAACACCGGUGGCGAAAGCGGCUCUCUGGUCUGUAACUGACGCUGAGGCUCGAAAGCGUGGGGAGCAAACAGG